ensembl:lncRNA
CCGCGGCUCCGCUUAGCUAGGUGGCUGCCUCCAUGUCCUCCCUCGAACCAUCUGAUAGUUUUAAGCGGUGACAGGAGCAGAAAAGACCCCUGUAGCGGCGCUUCAUUAAUGUGCCACUUCUUAGCUAUCAUAUGACAAUCGCCUUGGGAGGAGGAGGAAGAGGAGGGGGAGCGGGGGCUGCAGAGGGAGGGGACUGAGCGAGAAGGGAGAGCCUGGCCAGCUCUCAUUUCUUUCACACCUAUUUACAUGGACACCUUGGCCAAUAGGAAUCACUUCCAGCUCAAGACUGACCGUGGGGGAAGAGCCUCGGCCACCGGAGGGGAGCAGGACGCGCUGGUCAGGGUGCACGGUGUGAAGAAAAAUCUCAAGUCAGAAGAAAGCUUUGCUGAGGCAACAUGAAGGCGUAAGACCCGAUGAAGGUAUACUGUACAGCUCCCAGGUGAUGCUGAUGCUGCUGGUUCUUGGACCACACUUUGAACAUACGCACAUAAACUGAAGCGGACAUAUAAACUGUCAGAAUUAGACUUGAUGCUUCAGGAUGGGAUGAGGAGACUCAGCUGUCAUUAGAGUCCUUGAUGAGGACAACUGUCCCACUAUGGCUCGAGAUGCCUGAGCAUCACCUGAUUUCAGUAAUGGCUACUACUGAUGGGUUUCUCACGGUCUUCUCAUGCUGGCGAGUUGCUAACAGAGUAUUUAUGUUCAUACAUAAUGUCCUCUACUAAUUGGUUUUUAAGGCCUAUCAUUUUAACAAAAUGUGAACACGGCUGAGCAUAUGGUCUAAAUUUUGCUGAUUUAAAUAUCACUGAGCUUUCAGGUCUCUGUUUUGCCUUGGUUUCAGAUUUAUGAGAUGGUAUUUACAAUAAUAAAAGAAAGACUCUGGGUUCUUUCCAAGAUGCAGUUAAAUCUAACUUUUGUGCACAGUUUCAAAGGGAAGCAAGCAGCUUCCUUUUGCAGCCAAACUAGAGGAUAGGCAUGUCUUUGUUUUCAUUGUUACAUCCACUUUUGAUAUUGUGGGGGGAAAAGUUAAUUUUCCCAGUUAAUCAAUGAACCUGUCUUGACAUUUGGGUUCCUGCAUGUUGCAGGUUCAUAGCAAGAAACACCUUAUCCCUACAGGAAUCUCCACAACCUUUAGCAACGACUAUCCAUUGCCAUUUGAUAAGGAGAGCCCCCUGUGUGCCAGGGGCCAGAGAGUGCAAAUUUGAAUAAAUUAAGACCACAGACUGUGUUUUAACAAGGACAGAGCUCUCUGAAAGAGAAGGCACAUCUAAAGAGUUUCCAUCUGGUGGAAGAACAAUAUUUGGAUGGCUAUAAGAAACAGCUCUAUGUUCACAAUAGAUUCCCCAGGGCUUUGCUAAAUUGCCCAAAAGUUAAUCAGAAACACUUUUGGUUGUAAUUCCUGUUGAAAUGCCUCUAAGAUUAUUUUUUUUCAUGUUACAGUCUUGUGGAAGUGCUUGAAUUUUCUUCCUGAUGCUUAAGGUAUUUGCAUCUGCCCGCUGCCCAGUCCCAUUGUGAACGAGCAUCUCGAUGCCUGGGGGUGGAGAUAAAGGAGAUGUGGGAGGCUGAGCUGAGUCUUUACAGGUCCCAGAGAAGAGACUUUACAAACUAAACAUUUGAUAUAAGCUUAUGAGUGGUCUCUUGCUUGUAAAACUUAAGUGUAGUAAACAAUUAAGAAUUAUAGUCUGGAAUUUUUAGUUAAGGUUUUAUGAUGCAAGCUUUGUAGAUUUUUGUCCAGUUGAAUUAGUUGAAGACAUUUGGCAUAAAAAUGGAAGGGUUUUCCUGUCUUAUUAAACAAAGAUCAUCACACUUUUUCCAUUAUUUACUGGUUUCAAAGUCUGAAGAAUUUCUAAUUAUGGAAGAUGACAAAAAGCAAUAAUUAAAUAGUCAGUUGCAAGACACUUGCCACAUGAACUUACCAUGUCUGUGGAUUUUGUCUACUGACUUGGAGUGGAACUAGCCCUGGGGAAAAGAUGAUAAUAACUGAAAAAAUUACAUACAUCCUGGCAUCCAGGUAUUUCUAUACAUAACUCUCCUACCUACACAUGGGAAUCCUAAUAUUUAUUCCUGGCUCAGCAAGUAAGGUCAUUAUUUUACAGUAAGUGUCUUAGUCUGUUUGGGCUACUAUAAUGAAAUCCCAGAGACGGGGCAGCUUAUAAAAAAUAUGCCUCAAUUUCUCAGUUCUGGCUGCUGGGAAGUUGAUAUCAAGGCACCAUAAGAUCCUGUGUCUGGUGAGAGCCUGCUUCCUCACUGACGGGUACCUUUUUGCUGUAACCUCACAUAGUGAAAGGGGCAAGAGAGCCUUCCCAGCCCUCUUUUAUAAGGGAGCUAAUCCCAUUCGUGAGAGCUCUGCCUUGUGACCCAAUUGCCUCCCAAAGGCUCCACUUACUAAUCAACUUGGGGGUUUGGAUUCCAAGACAUGGCAGUUUAAGGUGGGGACACAAACAUUCAGGCCACAGCAAGA